rnacentral:lncRNA from 1 species
AGAGCAGCGCAUAUAUUCACAGAAAGAAUAUAGGUGACUUAAAACUUCCCCGGCAGAACUUCACUGAAACAGCUCUGGAAAGAGCGGUGACAGUUAACCAGAAGGUAGCAAAGAAGAGUAAAAAUGAAGCAAAGAAAAAUGAGAAAUGGAAAUCCAGACCUCUGAGAAGGAGCACUGCUCAGCUGAUAGUGGGAUCUUUGAGCUUGGGAUGGGGAUGAGAAGAGAAAAUAGAGCUGGUUCUGCAAGCAAACUGGAUCCAGAUACUUCAGAAAGGAACUACUGCCACUAUGAUUUGUAGACCUUCCCACGUACCCUUAUGGACAGAGUCAAACAUGGAGCUGUUGGCAAAGCAGAAAUGUGGUCUGCAGAGUUUGAGCCCCAGUGUCACAAAGCAGAGUGUAAAAGGGUAAAUAACAGCUUACAAGCAGAAGUCACGAAGAUCUUACUGAAAAUAACC